rnacentral:rRNA from 1 species
AAAUUGAAGAGUUUGAUCAUGGCUCAGAUUGAACGCUGGCGGCAGGCCUAACACAUGCAAGUCGAACGGUAACAGGAAGCAGCUUGCUGCUUUGCUGACGAGUGGCGGACGGGUGAGUAAUGUCUGGGAAACUGCCUGAUGGAGGGGGAUAACUACUGGAAACGGUGGCUAAUACCGCAUAACGUCGCAAGACCAAAGAGGGGGACCUUCGGGCCUCUUGCCAUCAGAUGUGCCCAGAUGGGAUUAGCUUGUUGGUGAGGUAACGGCUCACCAAGGCGACGAUCCCUAGCUGGUCUGAGAGGAUGACCAGCCACACUGGAACUGAGACACGGUCCAGACUCCUACGGGAGGCAGCAGUGGGGAAUAUUGCACAAUGGGCGCAAGCCUGAUGCAGCCAUGCCGCGUGUAUGAAGAAGGCCUUCGGGUUGUAAAGUACUUUCAGCG